rnacentral:rRNA from 1 species
AACGGCGAGUGAAGCGGCAAGAGCUCAAAUUUGAAAUCUGGCCUCCUUCGGGGGUCCGAGUUGUAAUUUGUAGAGGAUGCUUCGGGUGUGGCCGCCGUCUAAGUUCCUUGGAACAGGACGUCAUAGAGGGUGAGAAUCCCGUCUUGGGCGGCUGGUCCGCGCCCGUGUGAAGCUCCUUCGACGAGUCGAGUUGUUUGGGAAUGCAGCUCUAAGCGGGUGGUAAAUUUCAUCUAAAGCUAAAUACUGGUCGGAGACCGAUAGCGCACAAGUAGAGUGAUCGAAAGGUUAAAAGCACCUUGAAAAGGGAGUUAAACAGCACGUGAAAUUGUUGAAAGGGAAGCGCUUGCGGCCAGACUCGGGGGCGGGGUUCAGCGGGUGCUCGUCGCCCGUGCACUCCCCGUCUCCCGGGCCAGCAUCAGUUUCGACGGCCGGUCAAAGGCCUCCGGAAUGUGUCGUCUCUCGGGACGUCUUAUAGCCGGGGGUGCAAUGCGGCCCGUUGGGACUGAGGAACGCGCUCCGGCUCGGAUGCUGGCGUAAUGGCCGUAAGCGGCCCGUCUUGAAACACGGACCAAGGAGUCUAACAUCCACGCGAGUGUUCGGGUGUCAAACCCGUGCGCGCAGUGAAAGCGAACGGAGGUGGGAGCCUUAGGGCGCACCAUCGACCGAUCCUGAAGUCUUCGGAUGGAUUUGAGUAGGAGCGUGGCCGUUGGGACCCGAAAGAUGGUGAACUAUGCCUGAAUAGGGUGAAGCCAGAGGAAACUCUGGUGGAGGCUCGCAGCGGUUCUGACGUGCAAAUCGAUCGUCAAAUUU